AGGCAGCAGUGGGGAAUUUUGGACAAUGGGGGCAACCCUGAUCCAGCCAUUCCGCGUGAGUGAAGAAGGCCUUCGGGUUGUAAAGCUCUUUCAGUUGGAACGAAACGGUACGCUCUAACAUAGCGUGCUAAUGACGGUACCGACAGAAGAAGCACCGGCUAACUACGUGCCAGCAGCCGCGGUAAUACGUAGGGUGCGAGCGUUAAUCGGAAUUACUGGGCGUAAAGCGUGCGCAGGCGGAUUGUUAAGCAAGAUGUGAAAUCCCCGGGCUUAACCUGGGAAUGGCAUUUUGAACUGGCAGUCUAGAGUGUGUCAGAGGGGGGUGGAAUUCCACGUGUAGCAGUGAAAUGCGUAGAUAUGUGGAGGAACACCAAUGGCGAAGGCAGCCCCCUGGGAUAACACUGACGCUCAUGUACGAAAGCGUGGGUAGCAAACAGGAUUAGAUACCCUGGUAGUCCACGCCCUAAACGAUGUCAACUGGUUGUUGGGGGAGUGAAAUCCCUUAGUAACGAAGCUAACGCGUGAAGUUGACCGCCUGGGGAGUACGGUCGCAAGAUUAAAACUCAAAGGAAUUGACGGGGACCCGCACAAGCGGUGGAUGAUGUGGAUUAAUUCGAUGCAACGCGAAAAACCUUACCUACCCUUGACAUGUCCAGAAUCCUGCAGAGAUGCGGGAGUGCCCGAAAGGGAAUUGGAACACAGGUGCUGCAUGGCUGUCGUCAGCUCGUGUCGUGAGAUGUUGGGUUAAGUCCCGCAACGAGCGCAACCC
rnacentral:rRNA from 1 species